rnacentral:rRNA from 1 species
GACGAACGCUGGCGGCGUGCUUAACACAUGCAAGUCGAACGGAAAGGCCUGCUUUCCCUUGUGGAUUGCGGGUACUCGAGUGGCGAACGGGUGAGUAACACGUGAGUGAUCUGCCCCCAACUUGGGUAUAAGCCUGGGAAACUGGGUCUAAUUCCCGAUAGGACUGCAGGGUGGUGCCUGUGGUGGAAAACGAUUUUCUAGUGGUUGGGGAUGAGCUCGCGGCCUAUCAGCUUGUUGGUGGGGUAAUGGCCUACCAAGGCGGCGACGGGUAGCCGGCCUGAGAGAGUGGACGGCCACAUGGGGACUGAGAUACGGCCCAGACUCCUACGGGAGGCAGCAGUGGGGAAUAUUGCACGAUGGGCGGAGGCCUGAUGCAGCGACGCCGCGUGGGGGAUGACGGCCUUCGGGUUGUAAACUCCUUUCGACCGCGAGGAAGCCACCUGGUUGGAAGGGUGGUGACGGUAGUGGUAGAAGAAGCACCGGCUAACUACGUG